GGGGAUGUUCCGGUUUCGACGGGGUCGUCAGGAGUCAGACUGCAGGUAGAGGGCCCCGUUGGCCUCUUUAAAAAACGGGAAAUCUAAAUUUAAACGCAAACGAAGAUUUUGCACUUCAGGCUGCCUGAGCGCAGCUUGCGCCGCCCCGCGGGUCACUCAGUCCUUCGGCAAGCGGUGUCAGUAAUCUGAGCCCUGCGGGUUAAGGGUCAACUCCGCCUCCUUUCGCGGCGAUGCUUUUAAGCCGUGAAGGUAAACAAAAGCUACCGUGGUUCCGGGUCUGUCGCGGGACGCUCACCACGGGAAUUCUAAUCCGCGGCUAAACCUGUAGACGUUUGGGUCGGGGCGGUUUCGGACAGGAGUUCGAUUCUCCUCAUCUCCACCA
rnacentral:tmRNA from 1 species